rnacentral:piRNA from 1 species
UGUGAGAUUGAAUGGAUACUGGCCUC